GGCCUGGUGGUGUAGCUGUAACACAUCCUCCGCACUUAUGCUGCUCACCGCAUCGUUUUUGAGGAAGUUCCCUGUUCGAACCAGGGUCAGGCCA